AAAAAAGACAGUUUUUAUACCAUACCUAUUCUUAGUUUGGCUUGGAAGCAGCCAUACUUUAAUGAAAGCGUAAUAGCUCAAGAAUACUCUAUAAGAACAACUUAAAGGGUAUAAAAAUUUUACAGAUGUAAAGGGUUAAUACUACCGAAACAAGCAAAUAAAUCAUA
rnacentral:rRNA from 1 species